rnacentral:rRNA from 1 species
AUGGGGCAAGAAGAGGACGCCCUGACCGUGGCCUUGUCGUGGGAGCAGGAGGAGGGCAUGCCGGAGAGCCCGAGGAAGGCGCCGGUGGUCCUGUCGUGGGAGCACAAGCCGGCCGUGAAGAAGCCGGUCUCGACGGAAGCCCGUGGUGGUGGCAUGCGGGAGGGCCAGAGGAAAGUGCCGGCGCUGGCGAGGCGGCUGUCGGUGCCGCCGCCGCCGGGCAGGCCGGCGGCGAGGGGCUACUCGAGGGCCGUCCGGCCGGAGGACGACCCUUUCCUGGCGGCGUACCUCGCCUGCACCAAGAGCAGCGGCGACGGCGGGAAGAAGAAGACCGGCGGCGCCGCGCGGGAGCCCAAGGGCGAGAGGCGGUGGAGCGUGCUCGGGCGUGGGCUGGGCGUGCUGUCCUGCAAGCGGUGCAACGGCGUCAUGGAGCAGAGCAUGGUGAGGCUGGCCAAGCUGCCCGAGCUGGAUCCCAGGGAUGCUUAA